rfam:Gossypium hirsutum cultivar TM-1 unplaced genomic scaffold scaffold3638.1, whole genome shotgun sequence
UGUUAAAAAUUUCAUUCAUUUUUACGGUUAAAAACCGAUAUAAUUUAUGAAAUAACCAUACAAUUACACAUAGCAUGCCACGUAUAUCUCAAGUUGACAUACAUGGACUAGUUUUUAAUAGUAGAAAUGAAUAAUUUUUUUAACA